UAAUACAGAGGGGGCAAGCGUUAUUCGGAAUUAUUGGGCGUAAAGGGCGCGUAGGCGGCUUGGCAAGUGGAAGGUGAAAUCCCUCGGCUUAACCGAGGAACUGCCUUCCAGACUGCUUUGCUUGAGGCCGGGAGAGGUGAGUGGAAUUCCCAGUGUAGCGGUGAAAUGCGUAGAUAUUGGGAGGAACACCAGUGGCGAAGGCGGCUCACUGGACCGGUUCUGACGCUGAGGCGCGAAAGCGUGGGGAGCAAACGGGAUUAGAUACCCCGGUAGUCCACGCCGUAAACGAUGAGUGCUUG
rnacentral:rRNA from 1 species